GACGAACGCUGGCGGCGUGCUUAACACAUGCAAGUCGAGCGACUGCAUUCUUUUCGGAGGGUGUAUGGAGCGGCGAACGGGUGAGUAACACGUGAGUAAUCUGCCUUUGGCUUGGGAAUAACUUCGGGAAAUCGGGGCUAAUGCCUGAUGUUUACUGUCUGCUGCAUGGUGGGUGGUGGAAAGAUUUUUUUGGCCAGGGAUGAGCUCGCGGUCUAUCAGCUUGNGGUGGGGUAAUGGCUUACCAAGGCUUUGACGGGUAGCCGGCCUGAGAGGGGUGUUCGGCCACACUGGGACUGAGACACGGCCCAGACUCCUACGGGAGGCAGCAGUGGGGAAUAUUGGACAAUGGGCGCAAGCCUGAUCCAGCCAUGCCGCGUGAGUGAUGAAGGCCUUCGGGUU
rnacentral:rRNA from 1 species